UGGACUGCGUUUCAGUUCCUACUCUCUCCUC
rnacentral:piRNA from 1 species